UCACUGCUGACGAGUCCCAAAUAGGACGAAACAGCUGUCCAAUGC
rnacentral:hammerhead_ribozyme from 1 species